rnacentral:rRNA from 1 species
CCAAUAGCGUAUAUUAAAGUUGUUGCAGUUAAAAAGCUCGUAGUUGAAUUUCGGGAUUGACGUGAUGGUCGUGCCUUAAGGGGUAUGAACUGUUGCUGUUGAUUUCUCACCUUCUGGAGAAACUUGAUGUCCUUAAUUGGGUGUCUUGCGGAUCCAGGACCUUUACCUUGAAAAAAUUAGAGUGUUUAAAGCAGGCAUUUUGCUCGAAUACAUUAGCAUGGAAUAAUAGAAUAGGACGGCAUGGUUCUAUUUUGUUGGUUUCUAGGAUCACCGUAAUGA